UACGGAGGAGGCAAGCGUUAUCCGGAAUUAUUGGGCGUAAAGCGUCCGCAGGUGGCUGUGUAAGUCUGCUGUCAAAGAGCGAAGCUCAACUUCGUAAAGGCAGUGGAAACUACACGGCUAGAGUGCGUUCGGGGCAGAGGGAAUUCCUGGUGUAGCGGUGAAAUGCGUAGAGAUCAGGAAGAACACCGGUGGCGAAGGCGCUCUGCUAGGCCGCAACUGACACUGAGGGACGAAAGCUAGGGGAGCGAAUGGG
rnacentral:rRNA from 1 species